GGGAGGUAGUGACAAUAAAUAACAAUACGGGGUCCUUUAGGGUUUCGUAAUUGGAAUGAGUACAAUCUAAAUCUCUUAACGAGGAACAAUUGGAGGGCAAGUCUGGUGCCAGCAGCCGCGGUAAUUCCAGCUCCAAUAGCGUAUAUUAAAGUUGUUGCAGUUAAAAAGCUCGUAGUUGAAUUUCGGGAUCAGUACGCUGGUCGUGCCUUCGGUAUGUACUGGUGUUACUGGUUCCUACCUUCUGACGAACCGUCAUGUCAUUAAUUUGGUGUGGCGGGAAAUCAGGACUGUUACUUUGAAAAAUUAGAGUGUUUAAAGCAGGCUCGCGCUUGAAUACAUUAGCAUGGAAUAAUGAAAUAGGACGUUCGAUCCUAUUUUGUUGGUUUCUAGGAUUGACGUAAUGAUUAAUAGGGAUAGUUGGG
rnacentral:rRNA from 1 species